GACGAACGCUGGCGGCGUGCUUAACACAUGCAAGUCGAACGGAAAGGCCCCCUUGUGGGGUACUCGAGUGGCGAACGGGUGAGUAACACGUGAGUAACCUACCCUUGACUUUGGGAUAACUUCAGGAAACUGGGGCUAAUACCGGAUAGGAGCUCCUGCUGCAUGGUGGGGGUUGGAAAGUUUCGGCGGUUGGGGAUGGACUCGCGGCUUAUCAGCUUGUUGGUGGGGUAGUGGCUCACCAAGGCUUUGACGGGUAGCCGGCCUGAGAGGGUGACCGGCCACAUUGGGACUGAGAUGCGGCCCAGACUCCUACGGGAGGCAGCAGUGGGGAAUAUUGCACAAUGGGCGGAAGCCUGAUGCAGCAACGCUGCGUGCGGGAUGACGGCCUUCGGGUUGUAAACCGCUUUCGCCUGUGACGAAGCGUGAGUGACGGUAAUGGGUAAAGAAGCACCGGCUAACUACGUG
rnacentral:rRNA from 1 species